AUUGAAUGCUGGCGGCAGGCUUAACACAUGCAAGUCGAGCGGGGGAAGGUAGCUUGCUACCGGACCUGGCGGCGGACGGGUGAGUAAUGCUUAGGAAUCUGCCUAUUAGUGGGGGACAACAUCUCGAAAGGGAUGCUAAUACCGCAUACGUCCUACGGGAGAAAGCAGGGGAUCUUCGGACCUUGCGCUAAUAGAUGAGCCUAAGUCGGAUUAGCUAGUUGGUGGGGUAAAGGCCUACCGAGGCGACGAUCUGUAGCGGGUCUGAGAGGAUGAUCCGCCACACUGGGACUGAGACACGGCCCAGACUCCUACGGGAGGCAGCAGUGGGAAAUAUUGGACAAUGGGGGGAACCCUGAUCCAGCCAUGCCGCGUGUGUGAAGAAGGCCUUAUGGUUGUAAAGCACUUUAAGCGAGGAGGAGGCUCUUUUGGUUAAUACCCAAGAUGAGUGGACGUUACUCGCAGAAUAAGCACCGGCUAACUCUGUGCCAGCCGCCGCGGUAA
rnacentral:rRNA from 1 species